rnacentral:tRNA from 1 species
GUCAGGAUGGCCGAGUGGUCUAAGGCGCCAGACUCAAGAUGGAGGCGUGGGUUCAAAUCCCACUUCUGACA